rnacentral:misc_RNA from 1 species
GUAGGUGAACCUGCGGAAGGAUCAUUACAGAGUAUCAUGCCCUUCGGGGUAGAUCUCCACCCUUGAAUAACAUACCUUUGUUGCUUUGGCAGGACGCACUCGUGCCAGGGGCUUCGGCUCUUGAGUGCCUGCCAGAGGACCACAACUCUUGUUUUUAGUGAUGUCUGAGUACUAUAUAAUAGUUAAAACUUUCAACAACGGAUCUCUUGGUUCUG